rnacentral:tRNA from 4 species
GCGCGCUUAGCUCAGAUGGCUAGAGCAUUCGACUGAUACUCGAAAGGUCCUAGGUUCGACCCCUAGAGCGCGCACAA